ACGAACGCUGGCGGCGUGCUUAACACCUGCAAGUCGAACGGAAAGGCCCUGCUUGCAGGGUACUCGAGUGGCGAACGGGUGAGUAACACGGGGGUGAUCUGCCCUGCACUUCGGGAUAAGCCUGGGAAACUGGGUCUAAUACCGGAUAGGAGCCAUUUUUAGUGUGAUGGUUGGAAAGUUUUUUCGGUGUAGGAUGAGCUCGCGGCCUAUCAGCUUGUUGGUGGGGUAAUGGCCUACCAAGGCGGCGACGGGUAGCCGGCCUGGGAGGGUGGACGGCCACAUUGGGACUGGGAUACGGCCCAGACUCCUACGGGAGGCAGCAGUGGGGAAUAUUGCACAAUGGGCGCAAGCCUGAUGCAGCGACGCCGCGUGGGGGAUGACGGCCUUCGGGUUGUAAACUCCUUUCGCUAGGGACGAAGCUUUUUGUGACGGUACCUAGAUAAGAAGCACCGGCUAACUACGUG
rnacentral:rRNA from 1 species